rnacentral:rRNA from 1 species
CUUAAUUGGGCGUUAAGUUGCAGGGUAUAGACCCGAAACCCGGUGAUCUAGCCAUGGGCAGGUUGAAGGUUGGGUAACACUAACUGGAGGACCGAACCGACUAAUGUUGAAAAAUUAGCGGAUGACCUGUGGCUGGGGGUGAAAGGCCAAUCAAACCGGGAGAUAGCUGGUUCUCCCCGAAAGCUAUUUAGGUAGCGCCUCGUGAAUUCAUCUCCGGGGGUAGAGCACUGUUUCGGCUAGGGGGCCAUCCCGGCUUACCAACCCGAUGCAAACUGCGAAUACCGGAGAAUGUUAUCACGGGAGACACACGGCGGGUGCUAACGUCCGUCGUGAAGAGGGAAACAACCCAGACCGCCAGCUAAGGUCCCAAAGUCAUGGUUAAGUGGGAAACGAUGUGGGAAGGCCCAGACAGCCAGGAUGUUGGCUUAGAAGCAGCCAUCAUUUAAAGAAAGCGUAAUAGCUCACUGGUCGAGUCGGCCUGCGCGGAAGAUGUAACGGGGCUAAACCAUGCACCGAAGCUGCGGCAGCGACGCUUAUGCGUUGUUGGGUAGGGGAGCGUUCUGUAAGCCUGCGAAGGUGGCCUGUGAGGGUUGCUGGAGGUAUCAGAAGUGCGAAUGCUGACAUAAGUAACGAUAAAGCGGGUGAAAAGCCCGCUCGCCGGAAGACCAAGGGUUCCUGUCCAACGUUAAUCGGGGCAGGGUGAGUCGACCCCUAAGGCGAGGCCGAAAGGCGUAGUCGAUGGGAAACGGGUUAAUAUUCCCGUACUUGGUGUUACUGCGAAGGGGGGACGGAGAAGGCUAUGUUGGCCGGGCGACGGUUGUCCCGGUUUAAGCGUGUAGGUGUGUGUUCCAGGUAAAUCCGGUUCACUUUAACACUGAGGCGUGACGACGAGGCACUACGGUGCUGAAGCAACAAAUGCCCUGCUUCCAGGAAAAGCCUCUAAGCAUCAGGUAACAUCAAAUCGUACCCCAAACCGACACAGGUGGUCAGGUAGAGAAUACCAAGGCGCUUGAGAGAACUCGGGUGAAGGAACUAGGCAAAAUGGUGCCGUAACUUCGGGAGAAGGCACGCUGACACGUAGGUGAAGUGAUUUACUCAUGGAGCUGAAGUCAGUCGAAGAUACCAGCUGGCUGCAACUGUUUAUUAAAAACACAGCACUGUGCAAACACGAAAGUGGACGUAUACGGUGUGACGCCUGCCCGGUGCCGGAAGGUUAAUUGAUGGGGUCAGCGCAAGCGAAGCUCCUGAUCGAAGCCCCGGUAAACGGCGGCCGUAACUAUAACGGUCCUAAGGUAGCGAAAUUCCUUGUCGGGUAAGUUCCGACCUGCACGAAUGGCGUAAUGAUGGCCAGGCUGUCUCCACCCGAGACUCAGUGAAAUUGAACUCGCUGUGAAGAUGCAGUGUACCCGCGGCAAGACGGAAAGACCCCGUGAACCUUUACUAUAGCUUGACACUGAACAUUGAGCCUUGAUGUGUAGGAUAGGUGGGAGGCUUUGAAGUGUGGACGCCAGUCUGCAUGGAGCCGACCUUGAAAUACCACCCUUUAAUGUUUGAUGUUCUAACGUGGACCCGUUACCCGGGUUGCGGACAGUGUCUGGUGGGUAGUUUGACUGGGGCGGUCUCCUCCUAAAGAGUAACGGAGGAGCACGAAGGUUGGCUAAUCCUGGUCGGACAUCAGGAGGUUAGUGCAAUGGCAUAAGCCAGCUUGACUGCGAGCGUGACGGCGCGAGCAGGUGCGAAAGCAGGUCAUAGUGAUCCGGUGGUUCUGAAUGGAAGGGCCAUCGCUCAACGGAUAAAAGGUACUCCGGGGAUAACAGGCUGAUACCGCCCAAGAGUUCAUAUCGACGGCGGUGUUUGGCACCUCGAUGUCGGCUCAUCACAUCCUGGGGCUGAAGUAGGUCCCAAGGGUAUGGCUGUUCGCCAUUUAAAGUGGUACGCGAGCUGGGUUUAGAACGUCGUGAGACAGUUCGGUCCCUAUCUGCCGUGGGCGCUGGAGAACUGAGGGGGGCUGCUCCUAGUACGAGAGGACCGGAGUGGACGCAUCACUGGUGUUCGGGUUGUCAUGCCAAUGGCACUGCCCGGUAGCUAAAUGCGGAAGAGAUAAGUGCUGAAAGCAUCUAAGCACGAAACUUGCCCCGAG